GAUGAACGCUAGCGGCGUGCCUAAUACAUGCAAGUCGAGCGAACAGACGAGGAGCUUGCUCCUCUGACGUUAGCGGCGGACGGGUGAGUAACACGUGGAUAACCUACCUAUAAGACUGGGAUAACUUCGGGAAACCGGAGCUAAUACCGGAUAAUAUAUUGAACCGCAUGGUUCAAUAGUGAAAGACGGUUUUGCUGUCACUUAUAGAUGGAUCCGCGCCGCAUUAGCUAGUUGGUAAGGUAACGGCUUACCAAGGCAACGAUGCGUAGCCGACCUGAGAGGGUGAUCGGCCACACUGGAACUGAGACACGGUCCAGCCUCCUACGGGAGGCAGCAGUAGGGAAUCUUCCGCAAUGGGCGAAAGCCUGACGGAGCAACGCCGCGUGAGUGAUGAAGGUCUUCGGAUCGUAAAACUCUGUUAUUAGGGAAGAACAAAUGUGUAAGUAACUAUGCACGUCUUGACGGUACCUAAUCAGAAAGCCACGGCUAACUACGUG
rnacentral:rRNA from 1 species